rnacentral:rRNA from 1 species
GAUCAUGGCUCAGGAUGAACGCUAGCUACAGGCUUAACACAUGCAAGUCGAGGGGCAGCAUGAACUUAGCUUGCUAAGUUUGAUGGCGACCGGCGCACGGGUGAGUAACACGUAUCCAACCUUCCGUUUACUCAGGGAUAGCCUUUCGAAAGAAAGAUUAAUACCUGAUAGUAUGGUGAGAUUGCAUGAUAACACCAUUAAAGAUUUAUUGGUAAACGAUGGGGAUGCGUUCCAUUAGAUAGUAGGCGGGGUAACGGCCCACCUAGUCUUCGAUGGAUAGGGGUUCUGAGAGGAAGGUCCCCCACAUUGGAACUGAGACACGGUCCAAACUCCUACGGGAGGCAGCAGUGAGGAAUAUUGGUCAAUGGGCGAGAGCCUGAACCAGCCAAGUAGCGUGAAGGAUGACUGCCCUAUGGGUUGUAAACUUCUUUUAUAAAGGAAUAAAGUCGGGUAUGGAUACCCGUUUGCAUGUACUUUAUGAAUAAGGAUCGGCUAACUCCGUG